rnacentral:rRNA from 1 species
GACGAACGCUGGCGGUGUGCUUAACACAUGCAAGUCGAACGGUAAGGCCCUUUCGGGGGUACACGAGUGGCGAACGGGUGAGUAACACGUGAGUAACCUGCCCUCAUCUCUGGGAUAACAGUCGGAAACGGUUGCUAAUACUGGAUAUGAGCUUGCAAGGCAUCUUGUGGGUUGGAAAGAUUUUUUUGGUUGGGGAUGGACUCGCGGCCUAUCAGCUUGUUGGUGAGGUAGUGGCUCACCAAGGCUUCGACGGGUAGCCGGCCUGAGAGGGCGACCGGCCACAUUGGGACUGAGAUACGGCCCAAACUCCUACGGGAGGCAGCAGUGGGGAAUAUUGCACAAUGGACGGAAGUCUGAUGCAGCAACGCCGCGUGCGGGAGGACGGCCCUCGGGUUGUAAACCGCUUUCAAUUGUGACGAAGCUUUUUGUGACGGUAGCAGUAGAAGAAGCACCGGCUAACUACGUG